rnacentral:rRNA from 1 species
CGUCGCACAAGCGGUGGAGCAUGUGGUUUAAUUCGAAGCAACGCGAAGAACCUUACCAGGUCUUGACAUCCUUUUGAAUGGUCUAGAGAUAGAUCAGGCCUUCGGGACAGAAGAGACAGGUGGUGCAUGGUUGUCGUCAGCUCGUGUCGUGAGAUGUUGGGUUAAGUCCCGCAACGAGCGCAACCCUUAUCAUUAGUUGCUAACAUUCGGUUGAGAACUCUAAUGAGACUGCCAGUGAUAAACUGGAGGAAGGUGGGGAUGACGUCAAAUCAUCAUGCCCCUUAUGACCUGGGCUACACACGUGCUACAAUGGCCGGUACAAAGAGUUGCGAAACUGUGAAGUUAAGCUAAUCUCAUAAAGCCGGUCUCAGUUCGGAUUGUAGUCUGCAACUCGACUACAUGAAGUCGGAAUCGCUAGUAAUCGCGAAUCAGAAUGUCGCGGUGAAUACGUUCUCGAGUCUU